rnacentral:rRNA from 1 species
UACGUAGGGGGCAAGCGUUGUCCGGAAUCAUUGGGCGUAAAGAGCGUGUAGGCGGCUCGGUAAGUCCGCUGUAAAAGUCAAAGGCUCAACCUUUGAAUGUCAGUGGAUACUGCCGGGCUAGAGUCCGGAAGAGGCGAGUGGAACUCCUGGUGUAGCGGUGGAAUGCGCAGAUAUCAGGAAGAACACCAACGGCGAAGGCAGCUCGCUGGGACGGUACUGACGCUGAGACGCGAAAGCGUGGGGAGGCAAACAGG